ensembl:lncRNA
CACCCAAGGCAUAUGGAUCCCUGGCCAGGGGUAGAAUCGGAGCUGUAGCUGCCGGCCUAUGCCAGAGCCACAGCAACGCAAGAUCCGAGCCAUGUCCGUGACCUACACCACAGCUCACAGCAAUGCGGAUCUUUAAUAACCCACCGAGUGAGGCCAGGGAUCAAACCUGCAUCCUCUUGGAUGCUAGUCAGAUUGUUUCCCCUGAGCCACAAUGGGAACUCCAAUCACAGUGAAUAUUAAUAGUGCUAGGGGUCAAAUUGGAGCUGCAACUGCUGGCCGAUGCCAUAUCCACAGCAUUGCAGGAUCUGAGCCGCAUCUCUGACCUACAGCACAGCUCACAGCAACGCCAGAUCCUUAACCCACUGACUGAGGCCAGGGAUGGAACCCACAUCCUCAUGGAUACAAGUUGGGUUCGUUACCUCUGAGACACAAUGAGAACUCCCAGCCCAAGUCUUUGAAUGGCUCUCAGCUUCUUGGCAAAGUCGCCUCCCCUACUGCCCUCUGCUCUACAGCCUGGUGUAUUUCCCUACGACCCCUGCCCCAUUCUCAAGUGACUGACUUGUUUGCUGUCUUAUCACCUAUUUCCUUGUUUAUUGUUGGCUCUUCCAGUAAGAGCCAGAACAUGGGAUGUGCUCUGUCCCACUUACCCUCAGACUCCCAGCGCCCAACAGAGUGCCCAGGAUGAACUUAGCAACUGCUGCUCGAAUGCACGAACAAGGGUUGCCUGGUGAAUCCUCAUACAAAUCCCGUGUGGUUGGUGUCACUGUCCCCAUUUCACAGUGAGGAAGGAGUGUGAGGCUCAGAGAAGCUGGGGAGGUUGUCUAAGAUCACUCGGCCAGUAAGAGGUGGCGCCGAGUAUCAAAUUGAAUUUGCCUGAUAGGAAAGCCCUUGCUUUGACCACUGGACUCUGCUCUUUGCCCUCCAUGUUUCAGAAUCCCCAUCGUAAGGACACAGGACAUGCUUAUGAAUCAAAAGAUCUGGAAUGUUAUGUGUUAUGGACUAAAUGUUUGUUCCCUACCCCCCAAAUUUAUAUGGUGAAGUCCUAACCCCCAGAGUGACUGUAUUUGGAGAUGGGACCUCUAAGGGAGGUUGAGGUCAUAACAAUAGGGCCUUGAUCCCAUACAAUUCGUGUCCUUAAAAGAAGAGAUGCCCCCCUCUUACACUGUUGGUGGGAAUAUAAACUGGUACAACCACUAUGGAAAAGAGUAUGGAAGUUCCUCAAAAACUAAAAAUAGAACUACCAGUAGUCCCACUCCUGGGUGUCUAUCCAGAGAAAAUCAUAAUUCAAAGAGACACGUGCACCUCAAUGUUCACUGCAGCAUUACUUACAAUAGUCAAGACAUGGAAGCAACCUAAUUAUCCACCAACAGAGGAGUAAAUACAGAAGAUGUGGUACGUCUACACAACAGAAUACAACCGAGCCAUAAAAAGAAUGAAAUAAUGCCAUUUGCAGCAACAUGGAUGGACCUAGGCUAGAGAGUCUCAUACUAAGUGAAGUCAGUCAGACAGUGAAAGACACACAUCAUGUGAUAUCACUUAUACGUGGAAUCUUAAAAAAAAGGAUACACAUGAACUUAUUUGUAGAAUAGAAACAGAGUCAAAGACUUUGAAAACAAACUUAUGGUUACCCAAGGGGUCGAGGGUUGCGGGGGAUGGACUGGAGGUUUGGGAUUGGCAUUGGCACACUGUGGUACAUGGAAUGACUGGCCAACAGGACCUGCUGUAUAGCACAGAGAACUCUACCCAAUAUUCUGCCAUAAUCUAAGAGGUCAAAGAAUCUGAAAGAGCACGGAUGUGGGUACGUAUUUACCUAAAUCACUGUUGUACAGCAGAAAUGAUCACAGCGUUGUAAAUCAACUAUACGUCCAUAAAACUUUAAGAAAUGAAAAAAGGGAAGAGAAACCAGAGAGCUUGCUCUCUCCGAGUGCAUGCAGCAAGGAAAGGCCUCGUGAGACACAGCAAGAAGGCAGCCGUCUGCACAUGAGGGAGAGAGUCAUCACCAGGAACAGAAUUGGCUGGAACCUUGACCUUGGGCUCCCAGCCUCCAGAGCUGUGGGAAAAUAAAUUUCUGUUAAGCCACCCAAUCUAUGGGAUUUUGUUAAGGCAGCCUGAGCAGACGAAGACACCAUGUUUUAUGGAAGCCAUACGGCCAGGUCGAGGAAGGUAAAUUCGUCCUUCUCUCCCUCCCUCCUUUCUGUCCUCCCUCCUUUAAGCACUGAUGAUGGGGAGACGCACAAGAAUCCUGAGGAGCUCCCCGGCGUCUCAAACCAGUGGCCCAUGAUUCAGACGCCAGCUACAAAGCUAGUCUGUUGGGCUGGCAUGUGCUUUUUAAAAAUGCGAAACAAUUAGAAUGCUUUUAGGUAGGCUUCCAUUCUCCAGGUCUUCCACAAGUCACAUUGUCCCCUGAUGUCCUAUGUCCCCCUAUACGCAGGCUAUGUUAGAUGCCAGUGACACCGGCUAUGCUGCCGUGGGGCGUGGCUCGGGGCGCCCUGCAGCAGAGUGACACUGGGCAGGGAGAAGGGCGUGGGAGAUGGCGGGUCACAGGAGGCUGCAUGGAGAAGGUGGCUUUGGCCUGGACCAUGGAGGAUGGAGGGAAAAGCGCCAGUCUGAAGGGGAGGGGAGCAGAGCGAGUUGGUACUGAGGAAGGGCAUGGCCUGGCCAGGGGGCAGCCAGUGGCUGAGUGUGGCUGAGAGUGAAGGCAGAGGGGCUAGGACAUGGGGCGGAGAGUAGGUGCAGUGGGUCCAGGGGGGCCCUGCACGCCACGCCAAGGAGUUUGGAGGUUGUCCUGUCCAGGAGUCAUGACCAGGAGUCCUGGCAGCCUUCAAUCAGGGAGGGGUCAGCAGACAAUCUGUGUUAAGACAUGUGGAUGCUGGGUUUACCACUUCCUUGUUAUGUGACUGUAGACAUGUAUCAGCUUGGGGCUGUGUGGCCUCAGGCACUUCAUCUGUAAAAUGGGCAUCAACGCCAUAUAUCUCAAAGGGCUAAUGUGGGGAUUAGAGGGACAAAUGAUGUGAAAAGCCUCUAGCACGGUUCCUGACGCACAGAAGGCACCCAGUAAAGGAGAGCGCUCUCAAGACGCUGCCGAUCCUCUCGUGCCAUGGCAGGAAUUCCGAGAGCUGCCAUUCUGAUGGGUGUUUAUCCCUAAUCUACUGGUGACAACAGUGUGGGAGGGGGCUGGGAGCAACUGAAAGCUCUGUUUACUAAGAUUAUUACAGUAAAGUAAGAAAAACCCUGAGGAAGGACCCAGAAACUACUCGUAGGAGGCAGGUGAUAAGUGUGAACUGAAGAUCAGCUUUCUCAACCUCUAUUUCCUCAUCUGUAAAAUGGGACUCUCCCUGUCUGUCCACACAGGGUUUCUAUGUGAAUCAAGUGAGAACAGAGAUGUGAGAGUGCUUUUAAAGUUAAUCAACACCAGGGGACCAUUGGGGUUUCAUAUAUUUUUUUUUCUCACACAGGGGGAAAGAUGUCUGGGGUAAGAUUUGCACCUGUGGGCUCGGAUUUCUGCAAACCAUCAAGGCAAGAAUAGCAAGUGACCGAAGAGUAAGACCCAGAAAGGGCCUGAUGGAAAGGAAGCCCAGCCUCCAUCCCUGCUGCCUCCACCUUGCACUCACACCCAUGACUCAAAGCUAUGACCAGAUUCUCAGCCUUAAAAGCAGAUUUUUCAAGCUGGAAAGCGGACUGCAUGGGUUCUCCACAAUUUACGGAUGAAGCAGAGUCACAGAAGAGAGCUGCUGAAAACCCACCUUCAGGAGACAGAGGGCCUGAGUUCACAUCCCGGCUCUGCGGAUCUGAGCUGUGUGACGUUGGCCAAGUUAGUAAUGUCUCUGUGUCUCUGUGAGUAAUAUUACUGGGGUUAAAAAGAGCCCUUACUCCUAAGAGUGGUUUGGGGAACUAAAUGAACCAAUAAGUACAAAGCCCUUGGAGUGUCCCUAGCACCUGGUAGGACUCAGGAAUAAGAGUUACUGUUAGUUACUAUGUAAAGCCACAGGUUAUCGCAGUGGUGGAGUUGGGAAUGCAUCUUUGUGCGGCCCCACACAGAAAUAUGGGACUCUUAUCAACACGCCAUGUUUACUAAAGGCAGAAAAUGGACUGACCUGCUUUUGGGAUAAAGGGCACAUUCAUGCAGCCUGCGGGCCCCAUUUCCAGAACAUUCCAGGUCACCGAAGUCUGACAAUAACUGAAUAGAGGGACAGUGCCUCACGGACACCUUUCUUACCCCCUUGUGUCAUUUGUCAGAGCAAAAAAAGCUCUGACAAUUUAAAAAUUUAAACAGGAAGGAGACCCAAAUCAAUUCGAAGCAAUUGGCUUGGAUGUCCUGGGCUUGGCUACUGCUGUCCUGGUACAUUCAUGCAGUGUAUUUCCAUUUCCAAAGGUCUGUCACCACAGUCUUUCAUUUCUGCCUCCUGACAGAUGGCGAUUCAGGAAGCGGGUUCUGGUGGGAGACUGGCUGGUCAGAUCUUGCUGCUUCCAUUCACUAGUUGGGUAGCCUGGGGACAUUUAUUUACUGUCUCUGGGCCCCUGGACAAAAUGAGGAUGUGACAACACUGAUGUCAUUAGUUGCUGGGAGAGCUGGGGGAUGCGUGCAAAGCCAGAGCCUGGCCCAUAGUCAUUCCAUCGCCCAGGAAGGGCCUCUCACGGGCUUAACAUGGGCUUGGGGCUGCAGAUUCGGCAGCCAUCAAAUUGCAGCCCCUCCCAUCAUAUAGUUGAGUGUGAUGGGGGACAGCAGACAAUGUAUCAAGCAAAUAAACAUAUGGUACCAGGUAGCAAUCUGUGCUUUGAAAACAAAAAAAAAGGGGGAGAUGUUAGGGCUGCUGGCUGAGCUGUGACCCUGUGAUGGGCAGGGAAGCCUCCAUGACAGGGGGUCUUCUGAGCAGAACCUGAAUGAAAUGAGUGAGAAAAAUGACAAACAGAGCUGGGAAAAGAGUGUUCUAGGCUGAGAAAGUAGCGAGGGAAAUGCAAGUGUGUGUGUGUGUGUGUGUGUGUGUGUGUGUGUGUGUUUUGUUCAAGGCUGGUGGCAGAGGGGAAGGUGAGCACAGGGCUGGGGGUUACCAUAAGGACUUUGGCUUUUGCUCUAGGUAAGACAGGGGAACCAGUGGAAGGUUUGGGGCAGGCAAGUGACAAUGUGACCUGUGUUUUUAAGAAGCAGUUGUGAGGGGAGGAGACAGUUGUGGUGUGUGUGUGUGUGUGUGUGCAGAAGUGGAGGGAGGGGCAGUGGGUGACAAACUGAAAGGAGAGCCAACAGGACCAGGACUGCAAUGACCCACGUGAGAGACAACAGGGCUUGAAUUGGAGGGUGGGAAUGGAGGUGGCAGGAAGCAGCACUAUGGUGCUAAAUACAUAACUCCAGCCACCAAAAUGGGAAGAGCGCUCGCUGGAGGGGUGCAAUGCGGUGGUCCUGGAAGAUGGUGGUCCCACUGGGGGUAUAUUUUGAAGGCAGAACAGGCAGGACUUAUAGAUGGAACGGAGUGUGGGAGGAAAAGGGCAAACCAGGCUUAUUUAAAGGAUGGGGUAGCUAUUUACAGAGCUGUUGAAGAAUAAGAGUUAAGAGUUAACUUUAGAUGUGUCAAGUUUGGGAAGACUCUUCAUAAACAUUCGUGAGGAUGAUGGUGCUGAUGGUGGUGGUGCUGAUGGUGGUGAUGUGGUGACAGUGGUGAUGGUGGCACUGAUGGUGGUGGUGAUGCUGGUGGUGGUGGUGAUGGUGGUGAAGAUUAUGGUGAUGAUGCUGGUGGUGGUGAAGACAGUGGUGAUGGUGGUAGUGGUGGUGAUGAUGAUGACGGUGAUGGUGGUGAUGAUAAUGGUGGUGAAACUGAUGAUGGUGGUGGUGGUGAUGGAUGUGAUGAUGCUGGGGGUGGUGAAGACAGUGGUGAUGAUGGUCGUGGUGAUGAUGAUGGUGGUGAUGCUGAUGGUGGUGAUGAUGACGAUGGUGGUGGUGGGAGUGGUGAUUACAAAUUGAUGGCUUGAUGAAGAGUUUGACAAGAGCAAACACUGAGUAUUUUCUGUAUCUAAGUCAUGGCUUGAAGGACUUUAGAUGUAUGAACUUGCAUAAUCUCCAUCAUGGGAUCUCUAUUAUCAUCCUCAUUUAAUAAAUGAGUGUAUCGAGUUGAAUUGUUACCCUUCCCACUCCACCCCACAAGGCUGUGUCCAUGUCCUAGUCCCAGAACCUGUGAAUCUGACCUUAUUUGGAAAGGGUCUUUGCUACACCUACUAAGUACAUAAAAAAUCUUAAGAUGAGAUCAUCCUGGCUUAUCCCGAUGGGUCCUAAAUACAAUGGCAAGUGUCCUUAUAAGAGACACCCAGACAAGAAACCCACAGACAGAAGAGAAGGUGAUAUGAAGGCAAGGCAAAGACUGGAGUGAUGGAGCCACGAGGAAUACCAACAGCUUCUAGAAGCCAGAAGACGCAAGGAAGCUGACUCUUGAUUUUAGACUUCUGUCCUCUAGAAUCGUGAGAUACAUACAUACAUACAUACAUACAUACAUAUAUAUAUAUAUAUACACACACACAUAUAUAUAUACACACACACAUAUAUAUACAUAUAUAUAUAUACACACACACACAUAUAUAUAUGUAUAUAUAUAUGCAUUUUCUUUUUUUCUUUUUUGGCUGCACCCAUGGCAUAUGGAAGUCCCCAGGCCAGGGAUCAAACUGAGCUGAAGAUUCGACCUAUGCCACAGUUCACGGCUGCAACAACACUAGAACCUUUAACCCAAUGCACCACAGUGGCAACUCCAACAGAUUAAAUUUUUAUUGUUUUAAGUCACCAAGUUUAUGGUUCUCUGAUAU